rnacentral:lncRNA from 10 species
CUGCCUCAGCCUCCGGAGUAGCUGGGACUACAGGCGCCCGCCACCACGCCCAGCUAAUUUUUUGUAUUUUUAGUAGAGACGGGAUUUCAUCGUGUUGGCCAGGAUGGUCUUGAUCUCCUGACCUCGUGAUCUGCCCGCCUCGGCCUCCCAAAGUGCUGGGAUUACAGACUUGAGCCACCGCGCCCGGCCUAGGAUUUAUCUUUUAAGCUGCACUCCAAUUCUGACAAAGGUGAUGGAUCUGUCAAGUACAUCCUUACUGGAGAGGGUGCUGGGACUAUAUUUAUCAUUGACGAUACCACGGGUGAUAUCCACUCAACAAAAAGCCUAGACAGAGAGCAGAAGACCCACUAUGUGCUUCAUGCUCAAGCUAUUGAUAGACGUACAAACAAACCUCUUGAGCCUGAAUCCGAGUUCAUCAUCAAAGUGCAAGACAUCAAUGACAACGCUCCAAAAUUCACAGAUGGACCAUACAUUGUUACUGUGCCUGAAAUGUCAGAUAUGGGUACCUCUGUUCUACAGGUGACAGCUACUGAUGCAGAUGACCCUACCUAUGGAAACAGCGCUCGGGUGGUUUACAG